UGCCAGACUCCUACGGGAGGCAGCAGUGGGGAAUAUUGGGCAAUAGGCGCAAGCCUGACCCAGCAACGCCGCGUGAAGGAAGAAGGCUUUCGGGUUGUAAACUUCUUUUAUUCGGGACGAAGCAAGUGACGGUACCGAAUGAAUAAGCCACGGCUAACUACGUGCCAGCAGCCGCGGUAAUACGUAGGUGGCGAGCGUUAUCCGGAUUUACUGGGUGUAAGGGCGUGUAGGCGGGAGUGCAAGUUGGGUGUCAAAUCUACCGGCUCAACCGGUAGCCGCACUCAAAACUGCAGUUCUUGAGUGAAGUAGAGGCAGGCGGAAUUCCUAGUGUAGCGGUGAAAUGCGUAGAUAUUAGGAGGAACACCAGUGGCGAAGGCGGCCUGCUGGGCUUUUACUGACGCUGAGGCUCGAAAGUGUGGGGAGCAAACAGGAUUAGAUACCCUAGUAAG
rnacentral:rRNA from 1 species